rnacentral:rRNA from 1 species
AGCAGCUGCUGCUUUACCAUGCAAGUCGAACGGCAGCGCGAGAGAGCUUGCUCUCUUGGCGGCGAGUGGCGGACGGGUGAGUAAUAUAUCGGAACGUGCCCAGUAGCGGGGGAUAACUACUCGAAAGAGUGGCUAAUACCGCAUACGCCCUACGGGGGAAAGGGGGGGAUCGCAAGACCUCUCACUAUUGGAGCGGCCGAUAUCGGAUUAGCUAGUUGGUGGGGUAAAGGCUCACCAAGGCAACGAUCCGUAGCUGGUUUGAGAGGACGACCAGCCACACUGGGACUGAGACACGGCCCAGACUCCUACGGGAGGCAGCAGUGGGGAAUUUUGGACAAUGGGGGAAACCCUGAUCCAGCCAUCCCGCGUGUAUGAUGAAGGCCUUCGGGUUGUAAAGUACUUUUGGCAGAGAAGAAAAGGUAUCCCCUAAUACGGGAUACUGCUGACGGUAUCUGCAGAAUAAGCACCGGCUAACUACGUGCCAGCAGCCGCGGUAAUACGUAGGGUGCAAGCGUUAAUCGGAAUUACUGGGCGUAAAGCGUGUGUAGGCGGUUCGGAAAGAAAGAUGUGAAAUCAAACGGCUCACCCCUUGGAACUGCAUUUUUUAACUGCCUAGCAACAGUAUGUCCGAGGGGGGGA